rnacentral:lncRNA from 1 species
UUGUUUGAUAUUUCUAUAAGUAUAAAAAAGAAGAUGUGGUAUGAUUGCCAAUGAGACAACUAUCCACAAAAGACUAAAAUGACACAGACAUUAACAACUAUAGGUCACCGUAAGGCCUUCAACAAUGAGCAAAGCCCAUACCGCAUAGUCAGCUAUAAAAGGCCCCGAUAAGACAAUGUAAAACAAUUCAAACGAGAAAACUAACGGCCUUAUUAAUGUAAAAAAAUGAACGAACAACAAAUAUGUAACACAUAAACAACGACAACCACUGAAUUACAGGCUCCUGACUUGGGACAGGCACAUACAUAAAUAAUGUGGCGGGGUUAAACAUGUUAGCGGGGUCCCAACCCUCCCCUAACCUGGGACAG